rnacentral:rRNA from 1 species
AGACUCCUACGGGAGGCUGCAGUCGAGAAUCUUCCACUAAUGUGCGAAAGCAUGAUGGAGCGACGCCGCGUGGGCGAUGAAGGCCUUCGGGUUGUAAAGUCCUGUCGCCUGGGCCUAAUCCCUCAGGGUUAACACCCCUUGAGGUUGAAGUCCUAGGGGAGGAAGCACCGGCUAAAUUCGUGCCAGCAGCCGCGGUAAUACGAAUGGUGCAAGCGUUGUUCGGAAUCACUGGGCAUAAAGCGCUCGUAGGCGGUGACGAAAGUCAGUUGUGAAAUCCCUCGGCUCAACCGAGGAACUGCAACUGAAACUACGUUACUUGAGUGUGGGAGGGGAGAACGGAAUUCCUGGUGGAGCGGUGAAAUGCGUAGAUAUCAGGAGGAACGCCGGAGGCGAAAGCGGUUCUCUGGCCCACCACUGACGCUGAGGAGCGAAAGCUAGGGGAGCAAACAGGAUUAGAUACCCUGGUAGUCCUAGCCGUAAACGAUGGGCACUAAGUAGGGGGGCUCCGAAGGCCUCCCUGCCGGAGCUAAUGUGUUAAGUGCCCCGCCUGGGGAGUAUGGUCGCAAGGCUAAACUCAAGGAAUUGACGGGGCUCACACAGCGG